rnacentral:rRNA from 1 species
AUAUGUUCUUCGUGAACAUGGCGUACUGCUCAGUAACACGUGGAUAACCUGCCCUUGGGUCCGGCAUAACCCCGGGAAACUGGGGAUAAUUCCGGAUAACGCACAUAUGCUGGAAUGCUUUAUGCGUCAAAUGGAUUCGUCUGCCCAAGGAUGGGUCUGCGGCCUAUCAGGUAGUAGUGGGUGUAAUGUACCUACUAGCCGACGACGGGUACGGGUUGUGAGAGCAAGAGCCCGGAGAUGGAUUCUGAGACAUGAAUCCAGGCCCUACGGGGCGCAGCAGGCGCGAAAACUUUACAAUGCGGGAAACCGUGAUAAGGGGACACCGAGUGCCAGCAUCAUAUGCUGGCUGUCCGGGUGUGUAAAAUACACCUGUUAGCAAGGGCCGGGCAAGACCGGUGCCAGCCGCCGCGGUAACACCGGCGGCCCGAGUGGUGAUCGUGAUUAUUGGGUCUAAAGGGUCCGUAGCCGGUUUGGUCAGUCCUCCGGGAAAUCUGACGGCUUAACCGUUAGGCUUUCGGAGGAUACUGCCAGGCUUGGAACCGGGAGAGGUAAGAGGUACUACAGGGGUAGGAGUGAAAUCUUGUAAUCCCUGUGGGACCACCUGUGGC